UUGGAGGGCAAGUCUGGUGCCAGCAGCCGCGGUAAUUCCAGCUCCAAUAGCGUAUAUUAAAGUUGUUGCAGUUAAAAAGCUCGUAGUUGAAUUUUGGGUCUGGCCGGGCGGUCCGCCCUCUGGGUGAGCACUGUUCCGACGUCGGGCCUAUCCUUCUGGUGAGUCGGCAUGUCCUUUAUUGGGUGUGUCGGGGAACCAGGACCAUUACCUUGAAAAAAUUAGAGUGUUCAAAGCAGGCGUAUGCUCGGAUACAUUAGCAUGGAAUAAUGAAAUAGGACGCGUGGUGCUAUUUUGUUGGUUUCUAGAAUCGCCGUAAUGAUUAAUAGGGAUAGUUGGGGGCAUUAGUAUUCAAUUGUCAGAGGUGAAAUUCUUGGAUUUAUUGAAGACUAACUUCUGCGAAAGCAUUUGCCAAGGAUGUUUUCAUUAAUCAAGAACGAAAGUUAGGGGAUCGAAGACGAUCAGAUACCGUCGUAGUCUUAACCAUAAACUAUGCCGACUAGGAAUCGGGCGAUGUUAUUCUCAUGACUCGCCCGGCGCCUUAUGGGAAACCAAAGUGUUUGGGUUC
rnacentral:rRNA from 1 species